UACGUAGGGGGCGAGCGUUGUUCGGAGUUACUGGGCGUAAAGGGUGUGUAGGCGGUUGUUUAAGUUUGGUGUGAAAUCUCCCGGCUCAACUGGGAGGGUGCGCCGAAUACUGAAUGACUUGGAGUGCGGGAGAGGUGAGUGGAAUUCCUGGUGUAGCGGUGAAAUGCGUAGAUAUCAGGAGGAACACCGGUGGCGAAGGCGGAUCUCUGGGCCUGUUCUGACGCUGAGGCGCGAAAGCUAGGGGAGCGAACAGG
rnacentral:rRNA from 1 species